rnacentral:rRNA from 1 species
UACGUAGGAGGCCAGCGUUGUCCGGAAUUACUGGGCGUAAAGCGCGUGUAGGUGGUGGGACAAGUCUGCUGUGAAAGCGCCUGGCUUAACCGGGCGAGGUCGGCGGAAACUGUCCGACUAGAGGACGGUAGAGGGGGGUGGAAUUCCCGGUGUAGUGGUGAAAUGCGUAGAGAUCGGGAGGAACACCUGUGGCGAAGGCGGCCCCCUGGGCCGGCCCUGACACUGAGACGCGAAGGCGUGGGGAGCGAACGGG